GUUCUUUUAAGCUAGAGACAUAGUGUUACUUAUUCUUAUUUAAUAUUAAUAUAUCAUAAAAUAAAAUAAAAACUAAAAUAUUCCUGCAAAUAUUCCCAUCUAAAAAAAUAACUCAUUACUCAAACCCAUUUUCUUUGCACCCAAACACUCCCCAGAAAACCUCUUCAAUUUUCUCAGGAAAAUCUCAUCAUGUCAUGGCAAGUGUACGUCGAUGUUCGUAACUGUUUCAAGGAGGGUUAUGCACCACUUAAUUUUUACGUCAAAGAGGAUUUUGAUUGUGCUUCUACUCGCGGCACCGGAAGCGCUAAAACCAUUUCUAAUUAUGAACUGGUCUUGAUGGCACAAAGUAGAGCCAAGAGCAGAGGAUUUUCAGAUGUGUUAUACCUUGAUUCAGUCAAUAAGAAAAAUUUGGAGGAAAUCUCUUCUUGUAACAUUUUUAUUGCUAUGGGAAAAAUAAUUUCAACACCUGUUAUCGAUGGAACCAUACUUUCUGACAUCACUAGAAAAAGUGUCAUUGAACUUGCCAGUGAUCUUGGCUAUCUGGGGGAUGAGCAUGUUGUUGCUGUGGACGAAUUGAUUGAGGCUGAUGAAGUUUUUUGUACAGGAACUGUUGUUGGUUUUGCUCUUGUAGGGAGUAUCACAUAUCAGAAUAGAAGAUUUCAUGUCUUAGGGCAUAACAGACUCAAUUAAGUAAGCAGGAAUAUCUUACUUCAAAGGAGGAAGUUGACACUCAAGAAGGUCGUGCGAGACAGCUUGAGGAAGAGAUUAGAGAUUUAAGACAAAAACACAAGCAAGAGUUGCACGAGGCAUUGAUGCAUAUGGAGCUUAUUCAGCAGGAAAUAGAAAAAGAAAAGGUUGCUCGAUCAUAUAUGGAGAGGGUUGGUUGUGUUCAUUAUGUGCCAUCAUCAUAUCAAAGUCCCACAACAAAGCAUAAAUCUGCUUUUGAGAAUGGUGUGAUGCUUUGCUUCUUUUUAUUUUUACAUCACUUGGUUCAGUUAUCUUGUCUAUGAUAUUUUCGAUAAUAUACUUUAUGAUGUAUGGAAUUUGUCCCGUAAAAUCUCCUGUGCAAGCUCCCUUGGAAGAAUGGAAGAAAGCUAUUUUCUUCAAGCAUCACUGGAUUCAUCUGACAGUUUUUCUGAACGGAGAAACCCAGGAGAACUAAGCAUGAGUCCUUACUAUAUGAAGAGCAUUACACUCAGUUCUUUUGAGGCUGCGUUUCGUCAGGAGGGUGAGCUUGCUUCAUAUAUGUCGCGCUUGGUAUGAUUUGUUGCUUUCAUUUUCUGUCAUCAUACCUUCCAUGGAUAUCUCUUUGGAUCCGCAAUUGAAACUACAACAACAGUGAUCUUGUCCCAGCACUGCCAAUAUGCACUGCAAACUAGAGAGCUCAAGCAAGUUAUUUAAGGUCUAGCAUAAAGCCAACUUAUUGUUUUGAUUGGAUUUGGAUCCCAUAUUCUAUUAUUUACUUUCUACAUUCAUAACCAAAACUUUUUGGAGUAUUUUAUUAAAUAUUUUGUUUAACAAGAUGAUUACUCUUUCUUUAUGAAA